rnacentral:lncRNA from 1 species
AACAUGGCUGCAUUUCUUCCAACAUCCAAGCUCAUAUUUCAUGUCUUCAGCACCAUGUAAACACCGCAGCACAUUUGGAGCCCACUCAGGUAUUUCUGCUGAACCACCACGGUGUGGCUUUGCAAGAUAUAUGUGCUUCAUAUGCUUUAUGGGAUGAGGCUUGUUCUCAGCUCUGCAAAAAUGCUCUUUUCCACUGUGAGUGUUUCAGCUCCCUCUUAAAGAAGAGCAGCAAAUUCUCAACAGGACAGACAACGUACAGCUCUAACUUCAUUGAAAAAGUGACGGAGGUACUGAGCACGUAGCCACAUUCAGGUCUCAUUCUGCUUCACCACCCAUCCCCACUUGGCCAAGCUGCUUCGUGCCU